rnacentral:ncRNA from 1 species
CGACCUCAUUCAGUCGAAGGUGCCCGGCCGCAGCGCGGUCGGGUUAAACGGGAAACAGGUGCGGCCCUUUCAAAGGGCCAAUGCCUGUGCUGCCCCCGCAACGGUCGGCGGUUGAAAGCGUCCUCACGUCGGGCUCCAUGCGCCGACAUCCACUGGGUUUGCCGCCUGGGAAGGAGAGGGCGCCGACGCGGAACAUGGUCCAUGUCCUGCGUCAGCCGCGAGCCCGGAUACCGGCCUGCGACUGCUCCGGAUG